GUGAGCUUCGGGGUCUGGUAUGGCUGGUGCUUGUGCAGCCACUGCCUCCGGCCUCGGUGAUUGCGAAACUGAGGGGCAGUUGGGUGCAGGUCCCCAUUCCUAAUUCAAAGGCUGCUGUCUAACUCCCAGUGAGAAAUGAGGAAAAACAAAUUGCAAAAGAUGAUUAGAGACUAUACUUUAUAGAGAACUCUGCAUAUUUACCAGGUUUUGCAAAAAAAAAUUUGGUAAGGUACAAUAUAUAAAAUAGUGAGACUUGACGUGCCUUUUAAGAGAAGAAAGAUGCGUGAAGACUGUCCUGCACUUGGUGCAUUCAUAUGGUUUUUCUCCAGCAGAAACUUUCUUGUGCAGGGAGGGUCUAGAGAAAUGCUAUGCAAAUGAAGUAACUUUUCCAUUUGAAACGUUGCAUAACGCAGCAGGCCUCGGUUGUCCAAACGAUGCACAUUUCAUAGGACUUUCGGAAAAGCCUUCCACCAGCUACUGCAGAAAAUGGAUUCUGUGACUGUAAAAACCAAUGGCCGGGCGCAGUGGCUCACACCUGUCAUCCCAGCACUUUGGGAGGCCGAGGAGGGCGGAUCACGAGGUCAGGAG
rnacentral:lncRNA from 1 species